GGCGCCUCCUGCAGCAGGAACCCGUUGGUCUUUCCCGCCCCAGCGCGCUGUGCCUGGGAGGGCAGGAAGUACCAAGAAGUCCUGGAAAGUAGCGGGCACAGAGCUGCCCCCGGGCGCUAGGAGCCCGGCCCGAGCAGCGCUGAGUCUUCAGCCCAAGUGCUUGCACCCCAACCCCUUCUCAAAGCUCUGGCCUACCAGCUGCGGAACCGAAACAGCCGUAGGACCCAUGCAGGCAAUCACAGAGCACCACAAGUCUUGCCUUUCAGCUCGUUCUGAGUAGUCACAAACUGCCCCUGAGCUGGAAUCCUUCGCGGAAUAUUAUUUUGUCACCGUGACCAUGUUCAGAGCCGCCAAGAGUGGGUUCAGGCUCCGGUGAAAAAAAAUUUCGAGCCCCCGCCCCGCAAGGGAGGACCGGUCAAACAGGGCUGGAGAAGCCGGCCCCGGGCCCCCUUCCGGACCGCCAGGCCCCGGUCAUUUGUACCGGCUCCCCCUCCAGUCCCCACGUCGGCCGUGACCACGUUUGAAUAAAAGGCAGACUGGAGAACGUUGUUAACUGCUCCUAGACAAUUUGCAACAGAAAAGGGCGCUACGUUUUUGGAAUAAAUCCUUGGUUAUGAGUUAUUUCCUCAGCUCUAUCCUCUGCCUUCUCUGUGACAUAUGAGAGUGGGAGCUUUGUUUUCACUGUGUAUAUGUUACUUGGACACUUGAAUCCUGCAUCUGAAUGCUAAGAUCAAUAGACAAGGGAAUGUGGUUCCAUUGACCAAAACCACAUUUGCAUGCCAGGCUAAAAAAGCCAUCAGGAGAGCGGGGGGGGGGGGGGGGGGGGAAAUGAUCACCUAAUCUCAACUGGAGAUGGAGACUGCACCCUAGGAAGUCUUCCUGACUCUUGAAGCAGGAUCAAUGAAUUCUGAGAGAGAGAGAUUUUCAGAGGUUUACUGGACUCCAAAGAGAGGGGCAGAGAACCCCUAAGUGAUCUUUCAUCUAAGGAGACAAG